AACAACAACAACAACAACAAAAAUAAACUACCAUCAGAGUGAACAGGCAACCUGCAGAAUGGGAGAAAAUUUUUGCAAUCUACCCAUCUGACAAAGGGCUAAUAUCCAGAAUCUACAAAGAACUUAAACAAAUUUACAAGAAAAAAACAACCCCAUUAAAAAGUGGGCAAAGGAUAUGAACAGACAAUUCUCAAAAGUAGACAUCUAUGCAGCCAACAGACACAUGAAAAAAUGCUCAUCAUCCCUGAUCAUCAGAGAAAUGCAAAUCAAAACCACAAUGAGAUACCAUCUCAUGCUGGUUAGAAUGGCAAUCAUUAAAAAGUCAAGAAACAACAGAUGCUGGAGAGGAUGUGAAGAAAUAGGAACGCUUUUACACUGUUGGUGGGAGUGUAAAUUAGUUCAACCAUUGUGGAAGACAGUGUGGCGAUUCCUCAAGGACCUAGAACUAGAAUUACCAUUUGACCCAGCAAUCCCAUUACUGGGUAUAUACCCGAAGGAUUAUAAAUCGUGCUACUAUAAAGACAUAUGAACACGUAUGUUUAUUGCAGCACUUUUCACAAUAGCAAAGACUUGGAACCAACCCAAAUGUCCAUCAAUGAUAGGCUGGAUUAAGCAAAUGUGGCACAUAUACACCAUGGAAUACUAUGCAGUCAUAAAAAAGAUGAGUUCAUGUCCUUUGCAAGGACAUGGAUGAAGCUGGAAACCAUCAUUCUCAGCAAAUUAUCACAAGGACAGAAAACCAAACACCACAUGUUCUCACUCAUAGGUGGGAAUUGAACAAUGAGAUCACUUGGACACAAGGUGGGGAACAUCACACACCGGGGCCUGCUGAGGGGGUGGGGGACCGGGGGAGGGAUAGCAUUAGGAGAAAUACCUAAGAUAAAUGAUGAGUUAAUGGGUGCAGCAAACCAACAUGGCACAUAUAUACCUAUGUAUCAAACCUGCACAUUGUGCCCAUGUACCCUAGAACUUAAAGUAUAAUGAAAAAAAGAAAAAAAAAAAAAAGAAAGAAAGAAAAAAGAAAAAGAAGUUUAAUGGACUCACAGUUCCACGUGGCUGGGGACACCUCACAAUCAUGGCGGAGGGUAAAACGCAUGCCUUACGUGGCAGCAGGCAAGAGAGAAUGAGAACCAAGCAAAAGCGGAAACCCUUUAUAAAAGCAUCAUAUCUCGUGAGACUUCAGUUUGUGCACACGACCACAAGAACAGCAUGAGGGAAAUUGCCCCCAUGAUUCAAUUAUCUCCCACCGGGUCCCUCCCACAACACGUGAAAAUUAUGGGAGCUACAAAUCAAGAUUUGUCUCUUCUGGACGGGAGACAUUAGGUUAGAAAAUGUUGGGGUUGGUGGUCUAGAGCUGGAUUGACCUUUGGUUCUGACAUUCAUCUCUUCUAAGGCCAUGGGCAAAUCAUUCUGUUGCCAGGGUUCAUCAUCUGUAAAUGACAACAUAUAUCUACUCUGCAAGAUUGUGAAGAUUGGAUAGAUUGUACAUAAAGUGUAAAAGUCUAGCAUUAAAGUGGUGCUAAACCCACUGUAGCUGAUACAAGUUAACAUUUGCUGAGUGCUCAGUAAGUGACAGAUGCUGUGCGACACAAUCUGCAUGUGCAGCCAUGCAUCACUUAAUGAUGGAGACAGAUUCUGAGGAAUGCACCGUGGAACAUCAUGGGGUGCACUUCCACACACCUAGACUGGACAGCCCACCACACACCUAGGCUCUAUGGUACAGCCUGCUGCUCCAGGCAACAAACCUGUACAGCACAUUACUGUGCUGAGUACUGCAGGCAUCUGCAACACAAUGACUCAGAAAAUGAAGCUCUCAAAUAAGAAAAUUAUCUGUGUGUACAGAGAUGAAAGGAAUCAGGGUGAGUUAAAUAAAUCAUGAGAAGUUUUAAAUGCAAUCCUUAAUGUUUGUGGUGAUAAUUCUUAGUCUCUAUGUUGUAAAUACAUGUACAAAAAAUUCCAACUACAUGAGGACAAAAGAAAGUACAGUAACUUUGGUAAAAAAAUGAUCAGGUGCUAUGAAACUUUCACGGGCUUACAUAGAAUUUCCGGAGAGUUCUUGAAUUUUUAAAGCUGUUUACAAAAUGGAGCUAAAAGGUCUAAAACCUGUGUACUCUUAGUAUUCCACCGAGGCUGUGGGUACAUUAAAUAAUGAGUUAGAAGUUUGCAGGAACCACUUUGUGGCAAUCGAGAAGCAUAAAGCAUAUUUAAUUAAAUUAAGUAAUCUCUAUUUAGACAAAAAUAAAUCAUUUUAGUGCUUACUGUUUUUAACGACUCAGGCUCUCAUUCAAAAAGAGAACAGGAAACUGAUAAACUACUUAGAACUCCAUUUAUGGGGCUUUUAUAGCAAAGCACUAAUGGGACUUUUCAGGCCAGGGAAAUGUCAUAUUUUAUUAAUAAACGAUUCUGAAACACUCACAAUAAUUAACUGUCUAACACAAAAUGUGCCAGAAAAGAGGAAAGAAAACCACAAAGAUAUAAGCAUUUUUGAAAGUACAAAAAGUUUUUAGAACAUUUAAAAAUUAUGCUUAUUUAAUCCAUUUUUAAGUAAAUUUCUAUUAAGAGCAUGAAUAAGAAUAUUUACUACAAUCUCUCAUUUUUUUUAUAAGAACACAAUUAAUGGUUCAAGAUUUUUGCUUGACAAGACUAUUUUUAGACCUCAGAUAUUAUAGGCCUUUUCAUAUUUGGGAAUCUUAACAUAUAUUAUAUUGAACAUAUUCAUGGGCAAUACCUAACAAUUUUUCUCUAAAAUCGUUAUUAUAUUUUAUAAUUCAUCUUUUAAAUAUUUGAAAUUUUAAACUGGCUGUGUUUCCUCAGCACUAUUUGUACAUACUUGAAAAUUCUUGAAAUUUAAGGAAUUAAACGAACUGAUUAUCUUCAUUUAUAAUACAAUUUUUUUGAAUAUCAUAAUUUAUCCACUAAUGAAAUUGAUAUAUUACUAAGUUUGGUAAAAACUUAACAUCCCCAUCGUGGUUGGUGGUACUUUCAUUUCUUAGUUUAGAGAUAAUAAUUGGUUCUUCAGAGCUUAAACAAUUCUCUAGUCCUCUAAUAAAUGUAUAGGUUUAGAUGCUGCAGCUUUAUCUGGCUUAUACAAUUCUUUUCUUAAUUUGCAAUGUUUUGAAGACAGGGAUAAUGACAAAUAUAUCUUUGAUCAUUUUUGGCAUAUGAUGCCUUGCUUGUAAGAGAUUUUCAAUAUGUAUAUGUUAAAAUAGUAAAAUAUUUAGAUCAUAUGGUCCAAAGAGAGUCCUAGAAGCCACCAGAUCUUCCAAAAUCCAUUGUUUCCUAACC
rnacentral:lncRNA from 1 species